GACGAACGCUGGCGGCGUGCCUAAUACAUGCAAGUCGAGCGCAGGAAACUGACGGAACUCUUCGGAGGGAAGGCAGCGGAAUGAGCGGCGGACGGGUGAGUAACACGUAAGGAACCUGCCUUAAGGAUUGGGAUAACUCCGAGAAAUCGGAGCUAAUACCGGAUAGUUCAUCGGACCGCAUGGUCCGUUGAUGAAAGGCGCUUCGGCGUCACCUUGAGAUGGCCUUGCGGUGCAUUAGCUAGUUGGUGGGGUAACGGCCCACCAAGGCGACGAUGCAUAGCCGACCUGAGAGGGUGAUCGGGCUCACUGGGACUGAGACACGGCCCAGACUCCUACGGGAGGCAGCAGUAGGGAAUCUUCCACAAUGGACGAAAGUCUGAUGGAGCAACGCCGCGUGAGUGAUGAAGGUUUUCGGAUCGUAAAACUCUGUUGUAAGGGAAGAACACGUACGAGAGGAAAUGCUCGUACCUUGACGGUACCUUACGAGAAAGCCACGGCUAACUACGUGCCAGCCGCCGCGGUAACAC
rnacentral:rRNA from 1 species